UUUUUUUAGGUUGGAGUUCAACAACAAACUUGCUUUACCUAAUGCCAAGCCACAAAACUUGUUGUACUUGUUUGCAAGCCACAAAACUUGCUGUAUCUAUUUGCAGUCUUGCAACAUGGUAUUGGGCGGAAGGGGGGCGGCUUGCACCCCCUUUUAUGAAGGCAAUUUAUACACUACUGUAACAUGGUAUUGGGCGGAAGGGGGCGGCUUACACCCCCUUCCAUGAAGUCAAUUUAUACACCACUAGUUACUAUUUUUCCAAGUAUCGAAAUAUAUUUUUUAUUUUUUA
rnacentral:lncRNA from 1 species